AGUGACUAUAUGUUUAACGGCCGCGGUAUUUUGACCGUGCAAAGGUAGCGCAAUCACUUGUCCUUUAAAUGUGGACCUGUAUGAAUGGCAUAACGAGGGCUUAGCUGUCUCCUUUCUCAAGUCAAUGAACUUGAUCUCCCCGUGCAGAAGCGGGGAUAAAACCAUAAGACGAGAAGACCCUAUGGAGCUUUAGACAAAAAACAGCCCCUGUCAAUAAACCCUAAAUAAAGGGAAUAAACCUAGUGAACCUGUUUUAAUGUCUUUGGUUGGGGCGACCGCGGGGUAACAAAAAACCCCCAUGUGGAAUGAAAACACCCUUUUUAAACCCAAGAGUCACCACUCUAGGAUACAGAACAUCUGACCAAUAAUGAUCCGGCUAAAGCCGAUUAACGAACCGAGUUACCCUAGGGAUAACAGCGCAAUCCUCUUUUAGAGUCCAUAUCGACAAGAGGGUUUACGACCUCGAUGUUGGAUCAGGACAUCCUAAUGGUGCAGCCGCUAUUAAAGGUUCGUUUGUUCAACGAUUAAAGUCCUACGUG
rnacentral:rRNA from 1 species